CCUACGGGGGGCAGCAGUGGGGAAUAUUGCACAAUGGGGGAAACCCUGAUGCAGCGACGCCGCGUGAGUGAAGAAGUAUUUCGGUACGUAAAGCUCUAUCAGCAGGGAAGAAAAUGACGGUACCUGACUAAGAAGCCCCGGCUAACUACGUGCCAGCAGCCGCGGUAAUACGUAGGGGGCAAGCGUUAUCCGGAUUUACUGGGGGUAAAGGGAGCGUAGACGGCAGCGCAAGUCUGGAGUGAAAUCCCAUGGCUUAACCAUGGAACUGCUUUGGAAACUGUGCAGCUAGAGUGCAGGAGAGGUAAGCGGAAUUCCUGGUGUAGCGGUGAAAUGCGUAGAUAUUAGGAGGAACACCAGUGGCGAAGGCGGCUUACUGGACUGUAACUGACGUUGAGGCUCGAAAGCGUGGGGAGCAAACAGGAUUAGAUACCCGGGUAGUC
rnacentral:rRNA from 1 species